rnacentral:misc_RNA from 1 species
AAGUCGUAACAAGGUUUCCGUAGGUGAACCUGCGGAAGGAUCAUUAUCGUGGGGCUUCGGCCCCGUCGAGAUAGCACCCUUGCCUUUAUGAGUACCUUGGUUCCCUCCCCCGUACCCUCGGGGAGCGGGAGGGACCUCGUCUGUUUCCCCAGCGGUAGCCCCGCGGGGACACGAAACACGCUGUAAACACCUGUAACAGUCUGAUAAACAAACAAAAAAUCAAAACUUUCAACAACGGAUCUCUUGGUUCUG